rnacentral:rRNA from 1 species
UACGUAGGGUGCGAGCGUUAAUCGGAAUUACUGGGCGUAAAGCGUGCGCAGGCGGUUAUUUAAGUCAGGUGUGAAAGCCCUGGGCUUAACCUAGGAAUUGCGCUUGAGACUGGAUAGCUUGGAGUGCGGCAGAGGGAGGUGGGAUUCCACGUGUAGCAGUGAAAUGCGUAGAGAUGUGGAGGAACACCGAUGGCGGAAGGCAGCCUCCUGGGCCAGCACUGACGCUCAUGCACGAAAGCGUGGGGAGCAAACAGG